rnacentral:misc_RNA from 1 species
GAUGAAGAACGCAGCGAAAUGCGAUAAGUAAUGUGAAUUGCAGAAUUCAGUGAAUCAUCGAAUCUUUGAACGCACAUUGCGCCCGCCAGUAUUCUGGCGGGCAUGCCUGUUCGAGCGUCAUUACAACCCUCAGGCCCCCGGGCCUGGCGUUGGGGAUCGGCGGAGCCCCCCGUGGGCACACGUCGUCCCCCAAAUACAGUGGCGGUCCCGCCGCAGCUUCCAUCGCGUAGUAGCUAACACCUCGCGACUGGAGAGCGGCGCGGCCACGCCGUAAAACACCCAACUCUUCUGAAGUUGACCUCGAAUCAGGUAGGAAUACCCGCUGAACUUAAGCAUAUCAAUAAGCGGAGGA